rnacentral:rRNA from 1 species
AGAGUUUGAUCAUGGCUCAGGAUGAACGCUUGCGAUGUGUCUAAGGCAUGCAAGUCGAAUGCUAGUAGCAAUACUGGCAUGGCAAACGGGAGAGUAACACAUUGGUAACUUACCUCGAAGUCGGGCAUAACCCGGAGAAAUCCGGAGUAAUUCCCGAUGGCCGUGGGGGGACAUAAGUCAUUCCCACGUAAAGUUUUUUCGCUUCGAGAGAGACCUAUGUUCUAUCAGCUAGUUGGUAAGGUAACGGCUUACCAAGGCUACGACGGAUAGCGGGUGUGAGAGCAUGGCCCGCCUCACUGGGACUGAGAAACUGCCCAGACUCCUACGGGAGGCUGCAGUCAAGAAUCUUCCUCAAUGGCCGAAAGGCUGAAGGAGCGACAUCGCGUGCAGGAGGAAGCCCUUCGGGGUGUAAACUGCUUUUCUCUGGGAAGAAACAAUGACGGUACCAGAGGAAUAAGGGGUUGCUAAACUCGUGCCAGCAGCAGCGGUAAUACGAGUACCCCGAGCGUUAUCCGGAUUUAUUGGGCGUAAAGCGUGCGUAGACGGUUUAUAACAUCUCCUGUUAAAUUCCAAGGCUCAACCUUGGGGCUGCGGGAGAUAUGGAUAAACUAGAGGCUGGAAGAGGUAAGCGGAAUUGCUGGUGUAGGGGUUAAAUCCGUUAAUAUCAGCAGGAACACCAAAUGCGAAGGCAGCUUACUGGAACAGUUCUGACGUUCAGGCACGAAAGCGUGGGGAGCGAAUGGGAUUAGAUACCCCGGUAGU